AUUGAACGCUGGCGGCAUGCUUUACACAUGCAAGUCGAACGGUAACAGGCCGCAAGGUGCUGACGAGUGGCGAACGGGUGAGUAAUGCAUCGGAACGUGCCCAGUCGUGGGGGAUAACUACUCGAAAGAGUAGCUAAUACCGCAUACGAUCUAUGGAUGAAAGCGGGGGACCGUAAGGCCUCGCGCGAUUGGAGCGGCCGAUGUCAGAUUAGGUAGUUGGUGGGGUAAAGGCUCACCAAGCCAACGAUCUGUAGCUGGUCUGAGAGGACGACCAGCCACACUGGGACUGAGACACGGCCCAGACUCCUACGGGAGGCAGCAGUGGGGAAUUUUGGACAAUGGGCGCAAGCCUGAUCCAGCAAUGCCGCGUGCAGGAAGAAGGCCUUCGGGUUGUAAACUGCUUUUGUACGGAACGAAACGGCUCUGGUUAAUACCCGGGGCUAAUGACGGUACCGUAAAAAUAAGCACCGGCUAACUACGUG
rnacentral:rRNA from 1 species